UCAAUCUGCCCCCUGAUUAAAAAAAUUAAAGGGCUGCAGUAAUUUGACUGUACAAAGGUAGCAUAAUCAUUAGUCUUUUAAUUGAAGACUUGUAUGAAUGAUUUGAUGAAAUAUAAACUGUCUCUAAUUUAUAUUUAAAAAUUAAUUUUUUAGUUAAAAAGCUAAAAUUUAUUUAAAAGACGAGAAGACCCUAUAGAGUUUAAUAAUUUGAUAUUUAGAAUAUUUAUAUAAAAUUUUAAUAUAAUAUUUAUUAAUUUAUUUUGUUGGGGUGAUAAAAAAAUAAAAAAAACUUUUUUUUUUAUUAUCAUAAAUAAGUGAGUAAAUGAUCCAAAUUAAUGAUUAUAAGAAAAAAUUACCUUAGGGAUAACAGCGUAAUAUUUUUUUUUAGUACAAAUAAAAAAAAAAGUUUGCGACCUCGAUGUUGGAUUAAGAUAAAAUUUAAAUGCAAAAGUUUAAAAUUUUUGAUCUGUUCGAUCAUUAAAAUCUUACGUGAUCUGAGUUCA
rnacentral:rRNA from 1 species